rnacentral:rRNA from 1 species
ACUUAAAUUGAAGAGUUUGAUCAUGGCUCAGAUUGAACGCUGGCGGCAGGCCUAACACAUGCAAGUCGAGCGGUAGCACAGAGAGCUUGCUCUCGGGUGACGAGCGGCGGACGGGUGAGUAAUGUCUGGGAAACUGCCUGAUGGAGGGGGAUAACUACUGGAAACGGUAGCUAAUACCGCAUAAUGUCGCAAGACCAAAGUGGGGGACCUUCGGGCCUCAUGCCAUCAGAUGUGCCCAGAUGGGAUUAGCUAGUAGGUGGGGUAACGGCUCACCUAGGCGACGAUCCCUAGCUGGUCUGAGAGGAUGACCAGCCACACUGGAACUGAGACACGGUCCAGACUCCUACGGGAGGCAGCAGUGGGGAAUAUUGCACAAUGGGCGCAAGCCUGAUGCAGCCAUGCCGCGUGUGUGAAGAAGGCCUUCGGGUUGUAAAGCACUUUCAGCGGGGAGGAAGGCGAUAAGGUUAAUAACCUUGUCGAUUGACGUUACCCGCAGAAGAAGCACCGGCUAACUCCGUGCCAGCAGCCGCGGUAAUACGGAGGGUGCAAGCGUUAAUCGGAAUUACUGGGCGUAAAGCGCACGCAGGCGGUCUGUCAAGUCGGAUGUGAAAUCCCCGGGCUCAACCUGGGAACUGCAUUCGAAACUGGCAGGCUAGAGUCUUGUAGAGGGGGGUAGAAUUCCAGGUGUAGCGGUGAAAUGCGUAGAGAUCUGGAGGAAUACCGGUGGCGAAGGCGGCCCCCUGGACAAAGACUGACGCUCAGGUGCGAAAGCGUGGGGAGCAAACAGGAUUAGAUACCCUGGUAGUCCACGCCGUAAACGAUGUCGAUUUGGAGGUUGUGCCCUUGAGGCGUGGCUUCCGGAGCUAACGCGUUAAAUCGACCGCCUGGGGAGUACGGCCGCAAGGUUAAAACUCAAAUGAAUUGACGGGGGCCCGCACAAGCGGUGGAGCAUGUGGUUUAAUUCGAUGCAACGCGAAGAACCUUACCUGGUC